rnacentral:rRNA from 1 species
CACCCGAAGUCGGUGAGGUAACCCGCAAGGGAGCCAGCCGCCGAAGGUGGGGCAAGUGAUUGGGGUGAAGUCGUAACAAGGUAGCCGUACCGGAAGGUGCGGCUGGAUCACCUCCUUUCUAAGGA